AUGAGUAUGCUGUUGGAUGAAGGGGCAAGACAGUUCGAGAAACUUGGGAAGACGAAAGUAAGGAAACAUCUUGCAUUUCUUGGUUGGACAUUUGAGUGGACCGGAGACAAUUGUUAUCAUAGUAGACGAUACCGGUACAUUUCACCGGAUAAGCAUGACCAGAAGUGUUACUCUUCAAAUUUUUCUAUUUGCUCAAGUUUUGCAAACAGCAGCCCAACAUGA